CUUUUAAGUGGCCAAGAGAGAAGAAAGCUUCCUUGAUAUCUUCUUUUUGUAAUGGGAGCAUCCAUUAGGGGAAGCAAGUACUCACUACAAUUGUCUUGAAGACAACGCAGGUGAUUGAUAACAGCUUCCUUAAUUCCCUCUUUAUUUUUAAUAGCAUUCCCAUAGCUAUCUUUUAAGAACCAAAUUCUAUUACUAACUCUUCUCUUGAAUGGUUCCAGCUUCUUGCUGCCAAUUCCUUUUUAAUCAUCUUUCCCUUCUAAGGCCUGGGUUUUUUAUUCUAACAACAUACUCACUCCGUUUACUUGAAAAGCUGGCAUGCCCUUAACAUUCUUCUCCCAUUUUGAUUUCAACUUUUGUUUUACUUUACAUCUACUAUUAUAUGUUUCAAAUUUCAAGCAAGUCACUGAACACUGCACAAUCCUUGAGGUUGUCACAACUGAUUAAAAUCUCCCA
rnacentral:lncRNA from 1 species